UAGGGAAUCUUCGGCAAUGGAGGCAACCCUGACCGAGCAACGCCGCGUGAGUGAAGAAGGUUUUCGGAUCGUAAAGCUCUGUUGUAAGAGAAGAACGUGUGUGAGAGUGGAAAGUUCACACAGUGACGGUAACUUACCAGAAAGGGACGGCUAACUACGUGCCAGCAGCCGCGGUAAUACGUAGGUCCCGAGCGUUGUCCGGAUUUAUUGGGCGUAAAGCGAGCGCAGGCGGUUUAAUAAGUCUGAAGUUAAAGGCAGUGGCUUAACCAUUGUUCGCUUUGGAAACUGUUAAACUUGAGUGCAGAAGGGGAGAGUGGAAUUCCAUGUGUAGCGGUGAAAUGCGUAGAUAUAUGGAGGAACACCGGUGGCGAAAGCGGCUCUCUGGUCUGUAACUGACGCUGAGGCUCGAAAGCGUGGGGAGCAAACAGG
rnacentral:rRNA from 1 species